AAUGAGAAACUUAACCCCUUAACGCCGAAUGUCGCGAUUCGGCAUCAUACCGUUCCCGCUUUGAAAGCGGCCAAAAUAUCGUCUGCCUUUGUUCACUGCCGGUACAUUAAUGUCAAACACAUGCCUAGGAACCUUUUUCAAGCAUUAGUUUCAGUCGUGUCCGACCAGAGACAACACCGCUUCCUUUUCCGGACCGUGAUAUUCAAGAUGAAAGCCACGUUGAAGUCCUGCGCACCAACUUGACUAAUUCAUUCAAUUCAAGGUAAGUCAGCUAAAAUAAAAAAAUAUGUACCGUCUUAUUGUGUACUUGUGUUGCUAACACGAUGAGAUAGAGUUUCUAUGAUGAGUAUUUUUGAAGCUCUAUGACGAUUUUGGUUUGUAGCGCUAUCGCUACAGCCGGCAUCAUCGGAAAAGCACCUCCCCCCUCCCCCGCCACCCCGCAAACGUAAAUGCGUUGUUUGUCGAAGGUUUGCAACACUCGCACGCGUUUUAUCUAUAAACUAUCACUCUCGUUAUCAUCUGUAAACAUUACAAAAGUAAUGUGUUGCAUAAAAAAGGGCAUUUGUGGUUACUAUUUUUCUGUAGAACAAAUAAAUGAACGCAUCCUUUAUAUGCAACGGUGCACACGGGUGCCUCCAUGUCGUUCCACUUUUAGACACGUUUUAUUCAGACAUUGCCACACUUGUUGUCAUCUGUAGACAUAAUAAACAUAACGUGUUGCAUAAACAAUGUCAUUGCUAUUGAUUUAUUUUUCUUAUUUCUAUAUAAUGAAAAAUGAACACAGCAUGAGCUGAUAACUACCAAACAGAAGCAAAUGUAUGUAUGUUGAUGGUUUUCAACACAUUUUGUUUUGAAAUUAUAACAGUAAUUUCUUUACCUUAUUUUUCUGCAGAAAUACAAAUGAAUGCAGCAGCUUUUUACGCAAAGCUAGCACACCGUGCCAAACCACCUCCUGUUGAGAGUGCUCUCAGUGAGAGUGAGGGCAGCAAUGAGGAGUACAAUCCUAAUAAAGCAAGUGAAGGUGAUGAAAGCAGCAGCAAUGACUCUACAGUGGACAUUAGCAGCAGUGAGGAAGAUGAUGAUGAUCCGCCUCAUCCACCUCCAACCACCAGUGCUGCACCUGCAAGACCUUCAAGAGCUACAUCAAGGGCAGAUCGAGCCUAAAGCAAUAUAUCCAAAAAAAAGCCAUACAAAUUGGGAUACAAGAUUUUUGUACUGUGCGACACAAGAGGUCUGGUGCACUCAUUUGACAUAUUCACAGGGAAAAUAGAUCCGGUACCAGGCCAACCAGACAUAGGAGCCAGUGGUAACAUUGUGCUCAAGCUUGCACAAGUCAUUCAUCCUGCUGUUCUUUGAUAACUGGUUCUCAUCUGUAGAUCUGUUUGUUGCUCUUGCAAAAAAGGGCAUACCUGCACUUGGGACCGUGCAGCACAAUCGCCUGCGUGGGUGCUGUUUCAGUGCAGACUCAUAGAUGAAGAAGAAGCGAAGAGGGACAUUUGAAGAGCAAGAGGCUCUUGUGGACAAUGUCUGCAUAAGAGCAGUCAAAUGGUUUGACAAUAGAGGGGUGAUUGUUGCCAGCACAUUUGCCAGUGCCCUGUCUGUUAUGAUAAAAAUCAUCUUUUAUUUAUUUAUCUACAUCAUAUGUCUUCUAGUCUGAUUAAAAAUGUGAUGUACAUCUGUGUUUAAACAAAAACAAUAAUUGUUUUUCAGAAUUUCACAAGCAGUGAAAAAAGAUGUUGCGAUAAAAGUGUGUUCAGACCUGA